rnacentral:rRNA from 1 species
UACGGAGGGGGCUAGCGUUGUUCGGAAUUACUGGGCGUAAAGCGCACGUAGGCGGCUUUGUAAGUUAGAGGUGAAAGCCCAGGGCUCAACCCUGGAAUUGCCUUUAAGACUGCAUCGCUUGAACAUCGGAGAGGUAAGUGGAAUUCCGAGUGUAGAGGUGAAAUUCGUAGAUAUUCGGAAGAACACCAGUGGCGAAGGCGACUUACUGGACGAUUGUUGACGCUGAGGAGCGAAAGCGUGGGGAGCGAACAAG